rnacentral:rRNA from 1 species
CAAUAGCGUAUAUUAAAGUUGUUGCAGUUAAAAAGCUCGUAGUUGGAUUUCGGGGCAGCCUGGCUGGUCCGCCGCAAGGCGAGUACUGGUCAGCCGCCCUUCCUCUCGCAAGCCCCGACUGCUCUUCGUUGCAGUGGUCGGGUAGUUCGGGACGUUUACUUUGAAAAAAUUAGAGUGUUCAAGGCAGGCCUACGCCUGAAUACAUUAGCAUGGAAUAAUGGAAGAGGACCUCGGUCCUAUUUUGUUGGUUUCCAGGGCCGAAGUAAUGAUUAAGAGGGACAGUUGGGGGCAUUCGUAUUUAAUUGUCAGAGGUGAAAUUCUCGGAUUUAUGAAAGACGAACAACUGCGAAAGCAUUUGCCAAGGAUGUUUUCAUUAA